rnacentral:ncRNA from 1 species
CUUAAUUUGACUAAACACUGAGAAACUUAUCGGGUCUAGACAUAGUAAGAAUUGACAAACUGAGAGCUUUUUUAAAAUUUUAUGAGUGGUGGUACAUGGUUAUUCUUAAUUGGUGAAACAAUUUAUCUAAUUAAUUCUGUUAUUGAAUGAGACCUCAGCUUGCUAACUAGCUAUGCGGAGGUUGGCCGCAACAUACUACUACAAUUUUUUGUUAUCCUAGAAAAAAAAAAAGCAUGAAAAAUUUUAUAUGAAAUAUGAAUUCAACAUGUACUUGGAUAUGCUCUUUAUUUUUCUGGUUGG